rnacentral:rRNA from 1 species
UACAUAGGGGGCAAGCGUUGUCCGGAUUUAUUGGGCGUAAAGAGCGUGUAGGCGGCCAUGUAGGUCCGUUGUGAAAACUCGAGGCUCAACCUCGAGACGCCGAUGGAAACCAUGUGGCUAGAGUCCGGAAGAGGAGAGUGGAAUUCCUGGUGUAGCGGUGAAAUGCGCAGAUAUCAGGAAGAACACCCGUGGCUAAGGCGGCUCUCUAGUACGGUACUGACGCUGAGACGCGAAAGCGUGGGGAGCGAACAGG